rnacentral:rRNA from 1 species
AUUGAACGCUGGCGGCAUGCCUUACACAUGCAAGUCGAACGGUAACGGGCCUUCGGGUGCCGACGAGUGGCGAACGGGUGAGUAAUGCAUCGGAACGUACCUUUCAGUGGGGGAUAACGUAGCGAAAGUUACGCUAAUACCGCAUAAUCUGUGAGCAGGAAAGCAGGGGAUCGCAAGACCUUGCGCUGAUUGAGCGGCCGAUGUCAGAUUAGCUAGUUGGUGAGGUAAAGGCUCACCAAGGCGACGAUCUGUAGCGGGUCUGAGAGGAUGAUCCGCCACACUGGGAAUGAGACACGGCCCAGACUCCUACGGGAGGCAGCAGUGGGGAAUUUUGGACAAUGGGGGCAACCCUGAUCCAGCCAUGCCGCGUGAGUGAAGAAGGCCUUCGGGUUGUAAAGCUCUUUCGGCCGGGAAGAAAUCGCACAGGCUAAUACCUUGUGUGGAUGACGGUACCGGAAUAGGAAGCACCGGCUAACUACGUGCCAGCCGCCGCGGUAACAC